AAAAAAAAGAAGAUAUUUUUAAUUUUUUUUUGUUUUCAUGGAAAAUCUCUGAUUUUUUACGUUGAAGUGGACGGUUGCGAUCAACUGUCAUUAUACUUUCUUUCUCUCUUUCCCGUCCAUCGCGCGGCGAUUAAAUCCUAAAACCCUCCCGACCUCGUCCUUUGCCGUAAUCACGUCUCCCCGAACCCUACUCCACGCGAUCGACGUCUUCGCCUCGAUCGCCCCCCUUUCUUACCCUUGAGACGAAUUGGGAGCUCCGCUCGCCUUCGAUGGCGAUCACCGUUUUCUUAAAGGUCCCUGGUGAGGGAUCGCUUGGCCUCCUCUCCAAGCUCGUCCUCGAUCUCCCCGAACGCGAAUCUGAUCGAGGCCUGACGGUCCGCCGUGGAUGCCUGCGUUGAACGCGUCCUCUCGUUGGCCUCAAGUAAGAUGGUAAACUGGAAUCUGGAACAGAACUUGCUGCAUUCUGUACACAAACACUAAUGGCCUUAGAAGUUUUUAUUCAUCCCUGAGCCCUUCCUAUAGUCAGACUUUGAGGUUUCCAAGAUCUCCGUACAUGAAGGUUUCGAAAAUACAUUCCACAACCGUCAGAAACAUGGCAUGCAUUCUUUUCUAACGGGCGACCAAGGAAGUAAUGAAUGAGAUGGAUGAUGAUGAUGAUGAACUGUUGAGUGGCUGGCUUAGUGCUGAUGAAGACCAACCUGUUCAGUGUCUCAACACUUUUAUGAGAGAAAAACAUGUAGAAGUUGAUUCAGCCGGAGGUCAUUAGAUUACUGAAGGCAUUCAAGAACCAUCAAGAAUCCAUGAAGAGGAAAUAAUUUGCCCGAGCCAAGAGAAACAUAUGGCUGAGACACACAAAGUGGAAGACCCGAGUUCCAGAGCUAUUGUUAUGGCUGUCGAUGACAAGGCAUCUCCAGAUGAAGGCGAUACCACUAUCCAAGAUGUUCCCAAGGAUGACUCUUGCUGGUUAAUGUUUAGUAAUUUGGAAGCCCCAGAUGCAUCUUAUGGCGGGGGCUGAUGCUUCUGAAAGCUUCCAAGUCUCUGAUAAGGUUUAGGAGCCGCUGCUUACCUAUGAUUCUGAUUCAGUGUCUCUUGAUUCACUACCAAAUAUUAUUGAUGCAGAUCCAGACACCAUCUAUAUCUCGAGGUGCUAUGUUCUGUUUUCAUAUUAAUUUACAGUUUUGUAGCUAACUUAAGAUGAUUUCAGAUGGAAGCAGAUAGAAUGUCUCAUCAUAAUCUCCUCUUAGCUGCAAUCUAUGGUUGAGUCUCCAAGAAAUGGGAGGAUCUGCACGCACAGAACAACAAUUUUGAGCUACUUUGUAAUGAAAUCCAAGUCCUUUCAGAGCUACGUGACGUGUCAUUUCUCCGUGUGGCAGAUCUCAACCGACUCUCUGAUUCCAACCGCCCCGUCUCCCUUCACGCGUGGUUCGAAAUUGGUCCUCCACGUGGCCUUUCCAAUCUGGCAUUCAAUCGUGGCUUGAAGUGCCGUUAUCCGCGUGGCAGAUCUCAACGAACUCUCGUAUCCACGUGUCAAGCUCGUCACCUCGCGCACCCGUCGAGGUCGCGUGCCGUAAACGUAGCAGCAAACCCGUCUCUCUCACUCCCUCUGCUCCCGUCGAUCCCCUAUUUAUUUUCCUCCCCAGCCAAAAACCCUAUCACCGGAUACGUGAGAGAGAGAGAGAGAGAGAGAGAGACCCCAUGACGGCGGCGAUCUCGAUGGUUGGGGAAGGGAAGGAAGAGAAGGGGCCGGAAGUGGAAGAGAGCGGCGGUGGCCGGCCGUUGGUCCACAGCCAGGUGCGAAGAAUACGGGAGGAGGACCUCCGGAUCGGCGACGGCACCGGCGAAGGGCUGAGUGCGAGGGAUCUUCGGAUCCCCGUUCCCCUCCACACCGCCGCCGCCGCCGCCGACGCCCUCCUCUGCUCCCGCUCGGCGCUGCCCUCCUCCCCUCUCCGCAAGAGCAAGGCCGCCUUUGGAUCAGCUUAGGUGGCGACGUGGAGGCAGGCCAAAGUUCUGGAAGUAAUUUUCUAAUUCUUUUUUUUUUUUGGUAGUGUGUGUGUGUGUGUUUCCCUUCUUCAGCCUUCUUGCGGUCCAUUGUACAGGAGCAGUAGAUCUUAUAUUUGUAGACUGUAGAAUUGGUCAUAAGCAAACGUAUGAUUGAUUGCAGAGUUUUGGUCUAUUUCUCCCCAUUUCUUUAUUCUUUUUACAUUUUAUUCGGUUGGCGAGUACACUCUCACAACCGUCAGGUCAACUAACUCUGUAACCGUCGGGGAGCGAGAGAGCGCGCGGGUAGGCGGGCGGGAGGCUUCGAGGAAGCUUCCAUCGAUUGGACGGUCCACCACGGACGUUCGCGCCUCGCCCCACGUCAUCUGCCGUGGAUCCCACGGACUCUAGAUGGACCCCUGGUGAGCUCACCCGUUUCAUUUCUUACAGCACUGACCAUAUGGGUAGGUAUUUUUUUGGGUGUUCUUAGCGCUGUUUAAUUUGAAUUCACGAACAUCAGCAGCUGACGCCAAAAGCUGGAGGAAGUCCAUUUCUCAUCAUCGUAAAGUUUGACCACAUUAAGCUUUCAGUCUUACCCAAAAAUGAUGAGUUGCAUCUCAAGUUAGACCGUUCGUGGUAGGAUUAGGGAUACAAAAUUGCCGAGGAAAUCCAAGGUUACCCGUGCUACAUCAAAAGUCCCACACUU